CAUUAAAAAAAUAAAAGACUGAUGUACUGAAAUUGGAAUGAUACAGAGAUUAGCACAGCCCCUGUGAAAGGAUGGCAUGCAAAUUUGUGAAGCAUUCCAUAGUUUU
ensembl:snRNA U6 U6 spliceosomal RNA